rnacentral:rRNA from 1 species
UACGUAGGUGGCGAGCGUUGUCCGGAAUUACUGGGCGUAAAGGGUGCGUAGGCGGUUAUUUAAGUCUCGUGUGAAAGGCGCCGGCUUAACCGGCGAGAGCCACGGGAAACUGGGUAGCUAGAGUGCCGGAGAGGGUCGCGGAAUUCCCGGUGUAGCGGUGAUAUGCGUAGAUAUCGGGAGGAACACCAGUGGCGAAGGCGGCGGCCUAGACGGUAACUGACGCUGAGGCACGAAAGCUGGGGGAGCAAACAGGAUUAGAUACCCUGGUAGUCCCAGCCGUAAACGAUGAGCGCUAGGUGUUGCGGGUAUCGACCCCUGCAGUGCCGCAGUCAACGCAAUAAGCGCUCCGCCUGGGGAGUACGGCCGCAAGGCUGAAACUCAAAGGAAUUGACGGGGGCCCGCACAAGCGGUGGAGCAUGUGGUUUAAUUCGAAGCAACGCGUAGAACCUUACCAGGGCUUGACAUCCCCUGAUGGCCGUGGAAACACGGAAUCUCUUCGGAGCAGGGAGACAGGUGGUGCAUGGUU